AUACCUUUCUCGGCCUUUUGGCUAAGAUCAAGUGUAGUAUCUGUUCUUAUCAGUUUAAUAUCUGAUACGUGGGCCAAUGGCUCACACGAUAUUAAAUUUAUUUUUUUAGGGGGAUGGUCCAUGACAGUAGCUUGCUGCUGGGGCUCUCGAUCGUCGCCUUUGCGCUGCACUAUAGCAUUGGCCUGGCGCUCCCCAC
rfam:Populus trichocarpa scaffold_5_contig_144, whole genome shotgun sequence.